rnacentral:rRNA from 1 species
AUGCGCCGACUACACCAGGACAACAAUUUGCCGUGGCUACUGAUUGGGGACCUGAAUAAAAUACAAUUCUUGUCUGAAAAGGAAGGAGGAAACCCGAGACCGCCGCAAUACAUGCAGGCCUUCCAGUCGGCGAUUGACGAUUGUGAAUUGCGGGACAUGGGUUUUAAAGGCGAUCGGUUCACGUGGCAGAGGGGAGGAAUCAGAGAGAGGUUGGACAGAGGGCUAAUCAACGCCGGAUGGGAAGCUUUGUACCCAUCGGCGGCACUGCAAAACCUGCUAUAUAACCAUUCAGACCACCGUCCAAUUUUG